rnacentral:rRNA from 1 species
AUUGAACGCUGGCGGCAGGCCUAACACAUGCAAGUCGAACGAGUGGCGGACGGGUGAGUAAUGUCUGGGAAACUGCCUGAUGGAGGGGGAUAACUACUGGAAACGGUAGCUAAUACCGCAUACCAUCGGAUGUGCCCAGAUGGGAUUAGCUAGUAGGGGGGGUAACGGCUCCCCAAGGCGACGAUCCCUAGCUGGUCUGAGAGGAUGACCAGCCACACUGGAACGGAGACACGGUCCAGACUCCGACGGUAGGCAGCAUUGGGGAAUAGUGCAAAAUGGGCGCAAGCCUGAUGCAGCCAGGCCGCGUGUAUGAAGAAGGCCUUCGGGUUGUAAAGUACUUUCAGCGGGGAGGCGUUACCCGCAGAAGAAGCACCGGCUAACUCCGUGCCAGCAGCCGCGGUAAUUC